rnacentral:lncRNA from 1 species
AAACUAUUCUUAUGCGAUUAUCGAUUCUUCGCUCUAUACCACCACACAUCGCUCUAUAUAUAUAUAUGGAUAUAUAAGCCCCUAGUGCACAUCUCCAAGUGGUAAAAGGGAGGGUGGAGAAAUCCAGUUUUGCUUGAGACUGCUGUGUCAAGGGUUCGAAUCCUAAAAUAUGGAUUUGGCUCUUGGGUACGUGCAAGUGUACAAGCAGCCUUCCAUCCUGUAUCCUUGAAGGCAUAACCUGCAAUUUACCUCUCUCACGAUACUCUAGGGUAGGGGCGGUGGGGGACCCUUAAGGUUUGG